rnacentral:tRNA from 1 species
GGGCUUGUGGUACAGUGGUAGCACGUUCGCUUAGCAUCUCAUUUUCGGCUGAUGCGAAAGGUCCUGGGUUCAAUUCCCAGCAAGUCCA